rnacentral:rRNA from 1 species
AUGGUGCUCAUGUCGCUGGUGAGCCGGGCAGCUGUGGCCAUGCACAACUCCAGCGCCUCGGCGCCGGCACCGGCGCCGGGCAUGUGCAGCACCACGGACAUGGCGCUGAUGUGGAACCGCUCCAUGUCCGACACCCAACAGAGCACCACCGAGCGGCUCAUGGUCACCACCACUGCCCUCAUGACCUUCCUCGGCAUCGCGCUCUUCCUCCUCGGCGUCUUGGGCCGCUUCACCGGCCGCCACCGCGGCCACUCCCCCGUCACGUGCAUCUUCUUCCGGGCCACCUUCUCGCUCUUCCUCCCCUUCAUGUCCUACGCCUUCUCCCAGGCCAAGACCGAGGCCAAGACCGACCCCUGCAACAACUACCGCGCGCAGCUCAUCCUCCUCUGGAUGCUCCUCGUCGAGCUCCUCCGCAGCAAGGUCUCCGCCAUGGUGGCCCCUGCCGCCGGCGCCUUCUCGCGCGGUGUCGGCCGCUACAGCUCCUUGGACGCCGUUGAGGAGGCCGCGCGCUUGGUGUGGAUCGGGUACCUCAUCUUCACCUACGUCCAUAGCCCCGGCAUCAAAUCCUUCUUUAUCAUCCUCUGGAUCUUCGGCGUGGCCAAGAUGUGCAAGCGUGCUAUCUGCAUCCGCUGCGCCCAGGGCUCCUUUGACCUCGCCAGGAAUGCCGCCCUCGUCUCCGGCUACAUGGCGCAGCUCGUCCACGAACAACGGCAGCUGUCACAUGAUGACGUCGCCGCCGCCGCCGCGCUCGGCGCCAACGUCAUGAGGACUUGCAACUACGUGGUCAUGGGAGAGGCCCGGCUCAAGAGAGAGGUGACGCCCCAUGGCUUCGAGAUCUGCGACCAAGGAGUGAAGAACAUUCUCACUGGCGAUGGUGAUCCGAAUGGCGAGCAGCGCAAGAAGUCCAAGCUAGUCCGAGUGUGCAACAUCUGGGACCUCUCUGAGAGUGACCCCAUCUUCCGGUACAACGAGAGCAGGAGGCGCAAGAUGGAGGACAUCUGCCUUGCCCUCGCCCUCUUCAAGUUGCUCCGGCGAAAGAUGGAGCGCUUGGACAUGGCGGAGGCCAACACCCCGCAGGCGCGCGACCUCGUGUUGCGUGGCCUCCUCACCCUCGAAGGAGGCCAUGACGAGUCCGCCGACGCGGAGCGAGCGUUCCAGGUGGUUGAGCUAGAGCUCAGGUUCCUGGACGAGUACUACCAGGCCGUCAUCCCGUUGGCGCUGCCCAGGCCUGGGCUAUUCAUAGCCAACUUCGCUUUCUCCAUCGUCUUCAUCCUGAUAUACUGUGUCACCGUGCUUCUGGUCACCGGCCAUGGUGACAUCUUCAAAGUGCUGGGCUCCCUCUUCCGGGGCCUCGUCGGCCUAUCCUUCAACACGGCGCAGUACCAUCACUUCAAAGACAAGGUGGGCACCAUCGUCGAUAUGGUCUGCGACUCCUCCGACCUCAUCGUCACCUUCCUCCUCACGCUCACCCUACUCUCCGUCGAGGCGUAUGAGUUCUUGCAAUACCUGCUCUCUGACUGGUUCAUCGCAUCCUUGGUCUGCCACUACUCACGGAAGCAACGGGCCAUCCGGAAGCAGCUCGUCAAGGGUACCCUGUGGGUGAAGUACCGCUCGCGCCCCGUAAUUAAGGUCCACCAGGUAACCAUGCUCAAGCUCCACCAGCUUCACCCACACCGGGUGUGGGUACUCAUCUCCAGCAUGCUCAAGAAGCGCGUCGUCGGGCUCCCCGACGCCAUUGUCACCGCCGACGCCAAGCUGGUCAUCGUCAAGGCCUUGAAGGACGUCCUCGCGCCCAGCUCUGACAGGCGCUUCAGCAAUGGCAUAGCUGCAUUGAGAAGGCAUGGCUUCCAUCACUUGGAGUGGGCGUGCGACAACAAGAUGGGCGGCGCCGCAGUGAUCAUGGUGUGGCACGUCGCGACGGCACUGUUUGAGACAAGGGACCGGCAGAAGCACCCACUACCACCAUACGGCCAGGCUGCCCUGAUGCUGUCGAGGUACUGCGCGUACCUGGUGGCCUACGAGCCGGGGCUCCUCCCGGACGACGAGGCAUGGACAGACAAGGUGUACAAGGACAUGGUGACGGAGCUCAACAACUUCUUCCGGAGCUGCUCCACCACCGUGCGCCGCCGCGAGGGCCUGAUGAACUACUCCCCGGCUGGGGAGGAGGAGGAGAAUUCGGUCAUUGCCAAGGGUGUUAGGUUGGGGAAGCAGCUGGUGGACAGAGAGCAGCUGGAGGAUGGACCCAGCAGCAGCGCUGAUGGCAGCAUGCACAAGGACGAGAAGGUCUGGGGGAUGCUGCUCGAGUUCUGGGCGGAGCUGCUCGUGUUUGUGGCGCGCAGGCCGAUGGCGGGGCAAGAGGCGCACGCACGAGCUCUUGCCAAUGGCGGUGAGUUCAUCACCCACAUCUGGACCAUGCUCACCCAUGCUGGCAUCCGGGUCCCCAAGCGCGACCGGGAGGACCAAGCUCACCAAGUUUGA